GAUGAACGCUGGCGGCGUGCUUAACACAUGCAAGUCGAACGGAAAGGCCACAGCUUGCUGUGGUACUCGAGUGGCGAACGGGUGAGUAACACGUGGGUGAUCUGCCCUGUACUUCGGGAUAAGCUUGGGAAACUGGGUCUAAUACCGGAUAGGAAUCACAUGUGGGUGUGUGGUUGGAAAGCUUUUGCGGUAUGGGAUGAGCUCGCGGCCUAUCAGCUUGUUGGUGGGGUAAUGGCCUACCAAGGCGUCGACGGGUAGCCGGCCUGAGAGGGUGUAUGGCCACAUUGGGACUGAGAUACGGCCCAGACUCCUACGGGAGGCAGCAGUGGGGAAUAUUGCACAAUGGGCGCAAGCCUGAUGCAGCGACGCCGCGUGGGGGAUGACGGCCUUCGGGUUGUAAACUCCUUUCGUCAGGGACGAAGCGAAAGUGACGGUACCUGGAGAAGAAGCACCGGCUAACUACGUG
rnacentral:rRNA from 1 species